GGACCAAGGAGUCUAGCAUGUGCGCGAGUCAUUGGGACCUAUUAAUCCCAAAGGCGUAAUGAAAGUGAAGGUUCGCACUUGUGCUUACCGUGGGAAGAUGGGCGUUCCGUUUAGCGUUCGCCUCGCAUUCCCGGGGCGUUUCGUACUCAUUGCGAGUUGAGGCGCACCCUGAGCGUACACGCUGGGACCC
rnacentral:rRNA from 1 species